AUAAGUAUAGAGGCAAACUUCUUGCCAUACUCUGGGUAGAUUAGUUGUAUCCUUUUGAAGCAUAGACUUUUGUAUGUGAAUCCCGCGCGCAGAUGGACCUUGCUAGGAUCAGUGCACUCCGACUUCGUUUCGAGCCUGUUCAACGACUUGAGCGGCCAAAGAGCGCCCUCAUCUUGUUUUGUACUCGUUCAACGUUUCGGACGGCUACGUAGCACCUUAUUUCGCCUCAAGCCGCGCUCUACGAUUUACAUGGUUGCACUGAGUGAGGCAAGGAGUCUUGCCUGUGACGACCUCCUCUGCCGAGUUUUCUGAGGAUCUGCUCCUCCAAGUACUCGCGGCAGGAUAAGUCAAGCCGGCAAGCAUCCGGAAGGUGCAAAGGAAUAAUCAUAUCAAAUGAGAGUCGAAUAAAGGAUGCAUCUAUUCAUUCAUUUGUCUGGAUACAUUUGGUACCUCUUGCAAAGCAAUGUUGUCCUAAAAUAAAGACUCUGUCUUUUGACGAGGAACAACAUAUGCGGAGGAAGUGAUUCAAAAAC
rnacentral:lncRNA from 1 species